rnacentral:ncRNA from 1 species
AGAGUGCGUAAUAGCUCACUGGUCGAGUGACUCUGCGCGGAAAAUGUAACGGGGCUAAGCGUACUACCGAAGCUGUGAGUGCUAGAAGUAAGAAAUGAGAUGUAAGAAGUAGGAAGUGAAAAGAUGAUUCGGACAUUCCGAGACUUACGAGUAUAUAAGCAAUCGUAUGAGCUUGGAAAAGAGGUGCAUCGAGUCACACAACAUUUUCCAAAGUAUGAACGUUAUGAAUUAGGAAGCCAACUGAGAAGGGCUUCUCAAUCAAUUCCAUUGAACAUUGCUGAAGGUUAUGGAAGAAAAAAAUCAAAAGCUGAAUUCAAACGUUUUUUACUUAUAGCAAUAGGCUCUUGCAACGAAGUACAGGUUUUAUUGGACUAUGCCUAUGAGUUUCAUUAUUUAUCUUCGGAUGAAUAUAAGCGAUUGCUAACAAAUUAUGAAGGUAUAGGCAAACAAUUAUCUGUGCUACAUAGCAAGUGGAAAUGAACCCUACAUUUUACCUUUGAUUUCUUACUUCUAGCGCGGUAGGGGAGCGUUCCUGCAGCAGUGAAGUCAGACCGGAAGGACUGGUGGAGCGGCAGGAAGUGAGAAUGCCGGUGU